GACAGAGAGCAUGAGAGGGAGGAGGGUCAGAGGGAGAAGCAGACUCCCUGCUGAGCAGGGAGCCCGAUGCGGGACUCGAUCCCAGGACUCCAGGAUCAUGACCUGAGCCGAAGGCAGUCGCUUAACCAACUGAGCCACCCAGGCGCCCCCAAAUUCAUGUUAUCUCUUACAAAACUUGUCAGCAAGAAGAAUAACCUGGGAUGAUGGUUGACUUUGUAAUAUCUUGUGAGGUUUUUGUGAGUAAUCUAAGCAUCAUCACUGGGAGCAAGUGAGUUAGAUAGCUAUAAGUGGGAAAAGAGUUUUUAGGUGAACUUUUUAACAAUAAUUAUAUUUUAUGGUAUGUGUACUUAAAAAUAAUUUCAAUUCUCUUUGGUAACUUGGAACUUUAAAGUUGUGCUGAGUUAAGUUAAAUGAUGAGAAAUUCAUUGAAUAUCUAGACCAUUUACUGAACAUAAGUUUAUCUAUUUUUGGCUUCUUAUUACAGAGGCACUAAAGAUAUUUGUGUCUGUUAGUAAACAUGUCUUGUGCCACACUGAGAGAUUGUACUAUUUUUUUAAAAGGCAUAUGCUUCUAGAAAUUAUGAAAUGUAUUCAUAAAUUUGCCAAUCUAAAAAAUGUGGGUGUAACAGGCUGUUCACAACUGCUUACUUCUUAGUUUUGCUAGAAAUGAAAGUUUCUAAGGGUUAAGAAUUUUAACAUAUGUAAUUAAAGCUACUAGAGGUAAUAAGGAAAACAACUCUGUACGAAAGGAAUUUUGGAUAAGAAAAUGUAUGAGAUAUGAAGAUGCACUUUUGUUAAAGGAAAAAGAAAGUAAAAUUGUCCUAAAGUAAAACUAGCAUAGAAAGUUGGGGAAAGAAAGAGAAUUUUACUUUGUGUGGUCAAGUUGGCUAAAAUGUAAUGAGUUUAUGAUAAGGAUUAUAAAAUUAAGCUUUAAAAUCGGUAGUGUAUUUAUGUAAAGCUAAAACUUGAUUUUCUUUCAUUUACUAAAAGGACAAACUUUUCAGGGACCAUUAAUCUCCUCCUCCUAAGAGAUAGUUUUUCUUUACCUUUUAAGUAAUCUGCCUAAAAAGCAAAGAUUUUGUGUUUUAUCAGGAUGAUUUCCUAUUCUCCUUACCAUCUGUGGUCUUUGACUGCUUAAGAAAACUGGGUCUUCUCAAUAUUAAGAGCUACAUUUUGCUCACAGCUAUAUAACUUUCUGUAUUUGCCUUUGAAGUCUUUUAUUAUCACUUGGGUAGAACAGAUAAUUAUGUAUUGUUUCAUAAUGGUCUGUGAUGUUUGUGUGGAUAUAUGUUAUUCACAUUGGUGUUCCAGAAAUUUUAUAAAAUUCCUAGAAUUCUGGUAUGUCCCAGUACAAUGCUAUCACUUAUAAUUCUAUUAUUAAUUUGAAAUGUUUUAUGUUAUAGAAAUAAGCAAAUUUCUUUGUCAGUUGUAUUAUAAUGAACUCUCAUCAAAUCUUUAACUGUGGCCAUUUAAAAAUCUUUUGCCAUUUACACUAAUUGUUUUACUGUGAUGUUUUUGCAAAAGUGCUUCCUCUUUAGUGAGACUCAUGGAAAGAACUCUUGAAUGCAGGUAUCUGAUAAUUUUAAGAUCAUACCAUUGAUUUAGCUGCCUAUGUCUUAGAGCAACUUGGUUAAACAUACCUUUGUGUACAAAGAUGAAACAUUUAUCUUUUUCUCCUUACCGGAUCGCUCCAGAAUUCAGAAACUCUCAGUGAGUAUUCUUAUUUUUAUGGCAAUAUAAUUAUUUGCAUAAGUUCAAUAAGAACCUGUUCUCCUUGUAACAUUACAGACACAACUGGAAAUUGAUUAUAUUACCAAGGCUUUGACUAGACUGUCAUAUUUGAGAGAGAUGUACAUGCUUGGAUAUGACCAGACAGCUUUAAGGAACUAAAGUUGACUUUAUGGAGCCAAUAAAGUCCCUUGGAAAAACAGCCUCGUCCCUUGCUUACAGGCUUCCCAGCAGUUUUGCCAGGUGCUUAAGGAAGGUCACUUCAUGGCAAGUGCAGAAACCUCAGGAUAUUUUGGGAUCCUUAAGAAGAGAGGAAUCACCCAAAUCUAUAGGUAUUGCAGGCGAGUCUGGCAAGUCCUUCGUUUGGCUUCCUGGCCUUGAGAGGCUUUUAAAAGUCCCAUUUGAGGUUCCUUAUGAAAAGUUCCAGUGAAGCAGAUUAAGAGUCUAUAUGGUUAAUUGUUACUCUUAUUGGACUUAUGUAAAUAAUCAGGUCAAGUUUAUUGAGACUAGACUAAUUUUGCAAACAAAUAUAUUUUACUGUAAUGAUCUUUGGUAGAAAUGGGGUAAUUUUAGAGAGAAAAAUUAUGUUUCAAUAGGAACUAUUAAUACAACUGGUGGAUAUUAAAUUCCAAUUCUGUUCAUUGACUUCGAGGUUUUGUUAUUUACCUGUAAACUGACCUGGAUCCUGAAUUCUUCCAGUUUCCUCAAAUAUCUGGCCACAGAUCUCCAAACUAACAUUUCCAACUUUCUCCCACCUUUUGACUUGGAAUCGCUAAGAACAAAAUUUUGCCCAAAAAGUCCCGCAAACUGAAUAUGAACGACUUGCUAUAAACUUCAGAGAAAACGCAACAGGUCAUGUUAGACAAUCGUCAUGCCUCUUGAAGAUCAGAAGGAUCACCAGAGACAUUCAAACUGCAAACCCUUCUGGAAGAAGACCUAUCAGAUUGCUACCACCUGCCCUCACUAUCUGAAGAUGCUUCUAGCCUGACAUCUAGAAAUGUUCUUGACUGGCUGCCUCCUGGGCUCAGAAACUGAUUUAUAAUUUGUUCCAAUCAUUAACCUUUGUUUUUCUUUGUUUCCAUAGAAAUGCCAUAUUAAACACCUGAUUUCUCCUAACUUUGGGAGCUCACCUUUAGGACGCUCCUGGAAUGAGACACAGCUGUUUACCUGAACUGACCUGUUCCCAGGACUGAGUGACUGGUUCAGUGAGAUAGGGAGUAAUCUAUCAACUCAGCUUCUGGACUGUGAAAAUUCUUCAAAGUUUCAAAGGGUCUCUUCCAUACCAGACUUUAAAUCAAAGCAACAUGUUGUUCAAGUUUUCUGGAAGAUACUGCUCUACAAAUGUUAUCUGGGCUCGCUCUCUGCCCCAAGUUGAUGGAUUAUCAUUCCGCAACAAUUCCCCUCUCACUGUGGACACAAUGUACCCAUUGAUGUUGGGUGCAACCAGCACAGUGGAAUUUAGGAGCCAUGGCUGCUAACACUCGGAGAGUCGAGUUGAACUCCCAGCCCAGUCUUACCUCCAGUCCCUAAAAGGGGGAGGAUCAUUUCCGAGCUCCAGGUCCACAUGCCUGAAUU